UACGGGGGGGGCAAGCGUUGUUCGGAAUUACUGGGCGUAAAGCGUGCGCAGGCGGUUUUGUAAGUCUGUCGUGAAAUCCCCGGGCUCAACCUGGGAAUGGCGAUGGAGACUGCAAGGCUAGAGUUUGGCAGAGGGGGGUAGAAUUCCACGUGUAGCAGUGAAAUGCGUAGAUAUGUGGAGGAACACCGAUGGCGAAGGCAGCCCCCUGGGUCAAAACUGACGCUCAUGCACGAAAGCGUGGGGAGCAAACAGG
rnacentral:rRNA from 1 species